rnacentral:rRNA from 1 species
CCUACGGGGGGCUGCAGUCGAGAAUUUUUCUCAAUGGGGGAAACCCUGAAGGAGCGACGCCGCGUGGAGGAUGAAGGUUUUCGGAUUGUAAACUCCUGUCAUUGGGGAACAAUUGCACGGAUUUAACUGAUCUGUGUUUGAUAGUACCCGAAGAGGAAGAGACGGCUAACUCUGUGCCAGCAGCCGCGGUAAUACAGAGGUCUCAAGCGUUGUUCGGAUUCAUUGGGCGUAAAGGGUGCGUAGGCGGUAAAGUAAGUUGGAUGUGAAAUCCCGGG